ensembl:lincRNA Rmst rhabdomyosarcoma 2 associated transcript (non-coding RNA)
GGGAAUCAGAGUCGACUUCUGCUUCAACUGGAAUGGCAAGGCUGUAGAGCUGAGAUGAGAAACUGUAAACUUGCUCAGCCAAAGGAGGCUAAUAAUGAAGGGGCCAGGGAAGGAGGCCAAUGCUACAGGGUUAUCUCCUAACCUCAGAUGUUGGAUAAGUCCAUGGAAACAGCAGCGCUUCUGGAUGGCUUCAGAAAGGCUGGAGUGAUUGUUUGGACGAGAAAAACCCGCCUAUUCAUUCAAAGAUGUUAGUCUAUCUAGAACAACAGAUUUGGAUCUAAGCUGGACCUUUGAGAAAGAAAAGACUUCGAGGAAAAACACCUUUCCAUAUGUUUUAAUUACCUUUCACCUGAAUUGUUUAAUGCACAACAUCCAACUAUAUUCAUCUUUCUUGCUUCAUGUGUAUUUCUUCUU